CCUACGGGUGGCAGCAGUGAGGAAUAUUGGUCAAUGGUCGAGAGUCUGAACCAGCCAAGUAGCGUGAAGGAUGACUGCACUAUGGGUUGUAAACUUCUUUUAUAUGGGAAUAAAAUGUUCCACGUGUGGGCUUUUGUAUGUACCAUAUGAAUAAGGAUCGGCUAACUCCGUGCCAGCAGCCGCGGUAAUACGGAGGAUCCGAGCGUUAUCCGGAUUUAUUGGGUUUAAAGGGAGCGCAGGUGGAUUGUUAAGUCAGUUGUGAAAGUUUGCGGCUCAACCGUAAAAUUGCAGUUGAAACUGGCAGUCUUGAGUACAGGAGAGGUGGGCGGAAUGCGCGGUGUAGCGGUGAAAUGCUUAGAUAUCACGAAGAACUCCGAUGGCGAAGGCAGCUCACUGGACUGCAACUGACACUGAGGCUCGAAAGUGUGGGUAUCAAACAGGAUUAGAUACCCUAGUAGUC
rnacentral:rRNA from 1 species